rnacentral:misc_RNA from 1 species
UGUGGGAGCGGGCUUGCUCGCGAAGGCGGCGUGUCAGUCGCAAUUGUGUUUCUGACACGCCGCCUUCGCGAGCAAGCCCGCUCCCACA